GCGGUGACCGCCCAGGCGGCUGCCGCCUCCCCUCCGUCACCAAGGCAGGAAGACAGGAGGCUGCCGCAGAGCCAGAACAGCACGUGGAAACCGAGAUCGCUUGCUUGGGCCACUGGGCUCGGGAAUGUGCUGUCUCGUCAUAGCCUCGAAGACACUGGGACCUCGCCCUGUGGCCACGGCUGCUGCGGCGUCCUCCCCACCCCUGCUGGGCUAGCGGCCUGACGCCAUGCCGGCAGAAACCGGCCAAAGACAGCAGGAAGAUCCCUCCCUCUGUCUCGCAUCUACCGGAGAGCAGCUGCCAACAGACCUGAUAGCAAAUCUCGUCUCCCCGCAGCUGUGGGUGCAAGGCGUGCGGGCUGCCUAUUGCGGCCUAACCGACCGCCGCAAACGGUGCAUUUACCUUCUCUCGGCUUCUGUGUGUGGGCCGGGGGUCCCGGCCGGCAAGGCUGGUCUCUGUCUCAGUGUCUCACGUGGCCACCAUCGAGGCGUCUCAGCCAGGGGGUCAGGGGCUCGUCCCAAAGUUCAGCUGGGGAAGGAGCAGCCUCCCGGCCCAGGCUCAAAGCUGCCGAUACAGUGAUGGAGAAGACCCCCCCUCCUGGCUCCGGGUGCUCAGGUGGCUUCCAGGCCAGGGGCACUUGGAGGGACACAGCUGAAUUCAGCUCCAAGUGGCCGGCCUCUGCCCAGGAGGACAGGCAGAACGGGUGUUGCACGAGUUUCAUCCAUCGCAGAGUCGGGACGAGGGGUCUUAGCGGGCAGCCCGGCUCUCCCUUGGAACGGCUCAUCGGAGGACUAGACCGUGGCUGGUUGGUGGCGGUGGUCCGAUAUUCGAGAUAAUAGAAACCCCAGGAGAGCU